CGCCCCUUCUUGGUCAUUUAGAGGAAGUAAAAGUCGUAACAAGGUCUCCUAGGUGAACCUGCGGAGGGAUCAUUACCGAGUUCAUGCCCUUACGGGUAAUCUCCCACCCUGUGUUAUUAUUACCUUUGUUGCUUUGGCGGGCCGUCAGCUUCGGUCAGGCUAUCGGCUCCGGCUGGUAAGCGCCCGCCAGAGGACCUAAACUCCGAAUAUUAGUGUUGUCUGAGUACUAUAAAAUAGUUAAAACUUCAACAACGGAUCUCUUGGUUCUGGCAUCGAUGAAGAACGCAGCGAAAUCGAUAAGUAAUGUGAAUUGCAGAAUUCAGUGAAUCAUCGAAUCUUUGAAGCACAUUGCGCCCCUUGGUAUUCCGAGGGGCAUGCCUGUUCGAGCGUCAUACAACCCUCAAGCACUGCUUGGUAUUGGGCUCCGCUGGUCUCAGCGGGCUUAAAAUCAGUGGCGGCGCCGUCUGGGCUCUGAGCGUAGUAAAUAUCCCGCUAUAGAGACCAGGUGGUUCUUGUCAUCAACCCCCAACUUUCUUAAGUUGACCUCGGAUCAGGUAGGGAUACCCGCUGAACUUAAGCAUAUCAAUAGCGGAGGA
rnacentral:rRNA from 1 species